rnacentral:lncRNA from 1 species
UUUGUUUCAUCUAUUGCUUCUUCAUCUCUGUAAUUUUCCAUCAUGUAUCCGUAGUAUUUCUUGAAUCUGACUCUCUUCCACGGAGUGGCCGCAUUCAGUUUCAUCGGCUCAUAUCAAGAACGAUUCUCACCUCGAGGGACUUAUUUAGUGCUCCGAUCUGGUUUUGUUGAUGAGGAUGUUAGAUAGUCAAAGCCAUGGGAUUUCAAUCCUUUCUGAUCAAUGAUGUGUAAGCCGAGUUGAUUGGUGACGAUGUGUAAGCCGUAGAUUGGUGGCGAUAGAAAUGAGAUACCAGCAGGCAAUGACGAUUAAGGUAAGUAUAUCGACCCCUGUAGAUAGCCUCCAGAUUACCCACUUGAUAUAGAUGAUAUGUAGAACCUGGAUUACCAUUUUUUCAAAUCUCAUUCAAGUUAUUGAAAUUCUGUUAGAUGAUUACAAUUAGGUUAUUUGGAAUUUGAUGAUUGGAUUAAUUAGUGAUAAGAGGGUUUGGUGGAGUUUCGCUAUUCUACCAUCCAAGAUGUAACCAAAGAAGAUAUGAGGAAAACAUUAAAUAAACAAUACGGGGGCGACAAGGGGCGAUUUAGUAUAUGAUAUAAGUGACUUAUAUUAUUAGUUUUAUCUAAUUUCUCAGAAUUUGGUGGAAAUUCGGGUGCGCCUAACCAGACCUUGCUGAUGUUUUGCAGCAGUGGCUUUCUUUUGAGCUUCACAUCUGAGUUACCUUUUAGCUCAUUGACCCAGAUACAUGAUUACGUUGGCGUCAUUUGUUAACGGAGAUGAACUGGCAACAAUUAAGCUAACCACGGGUCUCUAAAUAGCUUUUCUCUGCUCUUUUAUCUCUGUUAGAGCAGAUUAUGGACGAAACUCUACCAUUUUAUUAAAGAAAUCCUACCGGGUGACUUUCUUUGCUGUUUAGGAAGGUCGCCGCCGAUGAAUUUUCCACCCACUGGAUCAAAUGUGAACCUGUGUUCAGUAUUUUAGGUGAGAAUGUUUAUGUAAACCUGGUGUGCAUCUUCCUAAUGCAUGGACAAGCCUUCAAACAUGAGGGAAAUUACGAAAAUGUCGGGUUGACCAAACCACUUUUCAAAUUUGUCACUCUCAGGCGUCGAUGGAGAGGGCGCUCCCGAGUCUGAUGCGUCCGCAUAUGGGAUGUCGCCACGUGUCCAAAUGAAAGGAGUGGUCAGCGGCUUGUGGCUUGGCUGACUCUUUAGAGUGGUUUGGCUGACUCUUCGGAGUGGUUCGGCUGACCUCUCCCAUUAACUGUCUUGCGAAAAUAAUCCAUCAUUAAAAACCGUUUUUUUUUAACGAAAUUACCUUCUCUUGCGUAUUUAUAAGCUGAAACGGUAAUUAAUUUUUUUUUUUUAAAUUAAUAACAUGAGUGGUCAGCCGAGCCACUUGGAGUGGUCAGCCGACCCCCCAAAACCAGCCAAGAUAGUUAAUGGGAGAGGUUAGCUGAACCACUCCGAAGAGUCAGCCAUAAAACUACAGCAGAUCCGAAGAGUCACUCUUGGACCAUGGGGUGGUCAGAUGGGAUACAAAUGGAUUUAUAUGCAACGAGGCUCUAUUUUAAAGAUAAAGAUAAGGGUUUAUCACGAAUCUGCUGUUAACACCAUCGAAUUUCAUAACCAAUGCAGAGAAGGUGAAGGUCGGAAAUAUGUUUUUGGUACUCCGGGUAUCAAGUCAUCAGACUUUAUUUGCACUGACGGUACUAAUGAAUAUUUGAUUUUAAUAAGCGGGACUACUGGGAGUAGUAGUCCAUUUGGUGGCGUUGAAAAUAAAGUAGUUAAAUCUAUAUUCUUUAUGACAAAUUUGAACGUUUAUGGACCCUAUGGUAAUUAUAAUAAUGGCACUGCCUUCUCGCAUGAUGUGAAAGACGGGGUGGUUGUAGGAUUUCAUGGGUGUGCUAGCAUAAGUCAGUAUUAGUUGUGUUGUGUCACAUAUGACAUAAAUACUCCAAUAACCACGGUUGACCUAUGCACUGUAAAAACUUACCCAAAAAGUAAUUUACCCAAAAAAAAUAAUUGUUUAAUGAUUGGAAUGGGUGUUAUUGGGCAUUAUUCCCACUACGCCACUUUUGCAAUAACGCUCAAUGAUGCCCCUAUGCUGACUGGACUGCCACGUGGCAGAAAACGCCCAAGGGUGGGGGCAUUAUUGCUCAAACCACCGAACCAUGGUGAGGCGAUGCAAGCUCCUGUUAAUCAAAAUGCAUGGCUUCUACUUAUGCGCUCAGAGUGGACAUUAGGUUUUUUGAAAUUUCAUCUAUAGUGGAUAUUAGAUUUUACACCAACAAUCAACAAAUUUUAACUUAUUUUGCCCGUUCAUAUGGGUCAAAUAAGUUGAAAGUUGUGAAUGUUUUAUUCAAUUUCUUUUGAAUUGUUUUUCACCUUAUUACUGAUCUGCAGUGUCGUAAAGCCGCUCUAAAGUAUUACGAUACAUAUCUUCCUUUUCUUUAAUUUUAGGGCAAGGACAAAACAACUGAGGAAAGGAGGAUUGCCAUUUGCAUCUUCGAUGAUGUGGCAGAGUAGUGUCGUGAAGCCGCUCUAAAGUAUUACGAUACAUAUCUUCCUUUUCUUCUCGAAGCGUGUAAUGACGAGAGUCCUGAUGUUCGACAGGUCAACACGAUG